UACGUAGGGCGCAAGCGUUGUCCGGAAUUAUUGGGCGUAAAGAGCUCGUAGGCGGUUUUGUCGCGUCUGCUGUGAAAAACCUGAGGCUCAACCUCGGGCUUGCAGUGGGUACGGGCAGACUAGAGUGCGGUAGGGGGUGACUGGAAUUCCUGGUGUAGCGGUGGAAUGCGCAGAUAUCAGGAGGAACACCGAUGGCGAAGGCAGGUCACUGGGCCGCAACUGACGCU
rnacentral:rRNA from 1 species